CAGUAGCCGCGGUAAUACGAAGGGGGCUAGCGUUGUUCGGAUUUACUGGGCGUAAAGCGCACGUAGGCGGAUCGAUCAGUCAGGGGUGAAAUCCCAGAGCUCAACUCUGGAACUGCCUUUGAUACUGUCGAUCUGGAGUAUGGAAGAGGUGAGUGGAAUUCCGAGUGUAGAGGUGAAAUUCGUAGAUAUUCGGAGGAACACCAGUGGCGAAGGCGGCUUACUGGCUCAUUCUAGACGCUGAGGUGCGAAAGCGUGGGGAGCAAACAGGAUUAGAUACCCCGGUAGUCCCUGUCUCUUAUAC
rnacentral:rRNA from 1 species